rnacentral:lncRNA from 1 species
CAGACUUGGAGGCCUUUUACAUAGGGCACCCCUUCAGUAGUCUGAAGGAAGAAAAAAAAAACAAAAAAACAAACACCAAGGAAAUGAAAGCACGAAAGAACUGGUGGCAUCAUGGGCUUGCUAAAACCCAGCAGAACAGUUUUAUGCAGCCUGGCCCUAGCCUUUUUUUUUUUUUUUUUCCCUCCCCCAAAACCUCUUGCAGACCAAGCUCUCAGACGCAAUGACUCUGAUACUGCUCUCACCUCUCACUUUGCCCACACAACCCUGACCGCUGCCAGGUGAAGGACGUCGCGGGACAGACUGAGCUGAGCCACUUCCCCAAGAGCUCUCUCAUUUCCUCAGUUGUUUUCUCUAGAACUGCCUCGAAUGAUCCCCUGGUCACAUUCCCAAACUAUUUUUGAGGAAAAUCCAGAAUGAACUAAUUAACUAAUGAAUGAACAAGACUGUACCAGCAAGCACGGGCAUCACCAAAAUGUUAUUUGGUGCUUGCCUACUAACGGAGCUGCCUCAUGCACGCAUCGCUGUAAUUCAUUGCAUACCUGUGACACAGCACCCACCAAACCCAGACCAGACCGUGGUGGGGGACACACGGAGGAGACGGCAACAUGGUGGUGGUCACACGCAGCAACAGAAGGUUGGAAGGCAGCUCUCAGGCUGGGCAGAAAGAGAGAGGACAUGCAGGUGUGGGAAGCUUUCUGGGUCUCUGCAAAAGAAGGUACAGAUUUUCUCUUCAGGCUGGUGCCAUCAGCAGGUUGAUGAGCUGGGCCAGCGGCUGCACUGAGCCUUUCUCUCCAGGAACACAAGCAGGAAUGCCUGAGAUGUGGCCCUGCAAGUGACAGCUGCCAGUGCUGUCAUCUGCUCUGCCCUGCAUGCAGCAGCAUGGGUGCCAUCCGCUUGGCUCGCUCGCAGGAGUAUGGGCACGGAUGGGAAAAAGAGAUUGGAGGUAACUGAUGGGACCAGAUUUUAAUACCUGUGUUCAAAUGAGGCACCUAGCUCUGUAUUCCCUACAGACACCUGAUUCUUGACAUGAUGCAGAAAUAAACUGUCAGCUGUGCAGCA